rnacentral:rRNA from 1 species
UACAGAGGUCCCAAGCGUUGUUCGGAUUCACUGGGCGUAAAGGGUGCGUAGGUGGUUAGGUAAGUCCGAUGUGAAAUCUCCAGGCUCAACCUGGGAAAUGGCAUUGGAUACUAUCUAGCUUGAGGAGUGGAGGGGGGACUGGAAUUCUCGGUGUAGCAGUGAAAUGCGUAGAUAUCGAGAGGAACACCGUGGCGAAGGCGAGUCCCUGGACACUUCCUGACACUGAGGCACGAAAGCUAGGGGAGCAAACAGG